GCUUACAGCCAUACCACCUUGAAUGCGCCUGAUCUCAUCUGAUUCAGAAGCUAAGCAGGGUCAGGCCUGGUUAGUACUUGGAUGGGGACCGCCUGGGAAUACCAGGUGCUGUAAGCU
rnacentral:rRNA from 1 species